CACCUCAUUUUUACAUAAUAGCUCAGUGCAUAUAUGAAACACACAAUGUUUAUAGAAUAAAAUGAUCAGUUAAAGAAAUAUAAAAAUGGAACAAAAUCAAUUUCCACAGUCCUUAUUUGGACAUCUUUGUAACUUUAACACUUUUAGCAAUUAGCAAGAUUGAUAAAACAACAUAAAAAUCCCACAGUAGUCAUGACUGAGCACGAUCUAAAACAUAACUGCAUUUUGAAUUGACCACUUCCUGUUCCUCUAGGGCCGAUUAAAUGGACUCGCCCCUAGAUGGGGGGGUCAGAUCUAUAUGGAUGGCUCAUAGGCAAAGCCAUCGGACAGUGUCUACCUGUGUGGUUAUGCUGUGGUGUUGGAUACUGGUGAGGUUAUUGAAGCCUUUGCUCUAAAAUACAACUCAGCACAAGCUGCAGAAUUGAUAACUCUAAAAAUGUUUACUCUAAAUUUUGUAAAAACAUGGGAAGCCUGAGAUUUUAAGACAACAGAUGAAAACCCUACUCAUUCUUUUGCUCCCGGACAGAGUGUUCUUAUUAAGAGUUUGAAACCGACAAGGGUUGGAGAGCCAAACUACUACGGCCCAGCCAAGGUGAUUGCUAUCACCAGGACCGGGGUUCUGACUGAUCAUCAGCCGCAGUGGAUUCACGCCUCGAGGCUGAAACACCACUCUGCCAUGGAUCAGGACACCGGAGACAAACCCAAACAACGACUGCUAUUCACGGAGAUCAACAGAGAACAACGAGUGAGAGAUCUUGCUGGAAGCUCAACUGCCAGAAGGAUUCGAACCGUGCACAGUGACCGAAGUUUUCAUCAUCUUCAGCGAGCACAUUGUGAAAGCAGAGCAAAGAGAAUGGAAGACAACGAAACCAUCACACAACCAACCCUGCAAAAGCGAUUCGUAGGUCAUAUGCUGUGGUAUAUGUUUAUUUUGAAUGAUGGUGAUCUGAAAGUUUAUAGAAAAAUAAAAUAACUGGUUUCUUGGGGAAAAAAAAGGGUUAUGUAGGAAAUUACUAUUUGUACCAAUUUGAUUUAUACAAUUAGGAAGAGUAUUUUCUUAAAGUAUUUGAAACAAGUGCUUUCCAGAUGUGUACCAUAACCCUGUUAUAUGCCGUGAGAAAUUGAGGGUAACAUUAACUGUGCAUGCCAUAAAUAAUAUAUCUGGAGUAAAUGGAUUAGUGAUAACUCGACCAUAGAAGGUGAACCCAAAUGACCUGUGAUGCAAAUUGUGAUUUUCAAACAUGAAGCGAAUGCAUUUCUAUUCUGAUAUGGGUGUGUGGGAUCAGAUGUGAUCCACUAUCGUGUAUCAAAGGGGCCAUUGUAAGAAUCUAAAAGAUGUACCUUUCCCACACCCACUAGUUAACUUGUAAGCAAACCCAAUAUAUAUCUAUAUAUCCUGUUUAGUUUCACAUUUGUGUUUGCAUGUCUAUGAUAAUCCUUUUCAUAGUGGCAUUUUCUCUAAUCAUAUAUUUUGAUGACAAGCUCAUCCUGUCUUUAAGGUUAAAUAUAUACAAUGCAUAUUAUAGAAAUGCUAUGUGUCUGGUUUUUCUAUUGUAUAACACACUGUUUGUUUUCUGGCCUGUUCAGUUAAAGUUUUCCCCAGUGAUUAAUGAUCUUACAUUUGCUAUGUUUGGAAAAUAUCCUUUGGUUAACUGCAGGUUGGAUAUUUUGGGAGUAUGUGUCAGACCCUACUUCCCUGUUUUUGGUAUCACUUCCCCUUAUGUUUGUUUGGUAAAUUAAUCAUACAAUUAUUGGCUAGACGGAUUUGUCAAUGUUUUGAUCACAAGAUUGUGCCAGACAUAACCCAGGUGACUAACGUUUCCUUUUUGCAUCCUAUAUAAUGUGAAGGAUGUCUAAUAAAAUUUGGUCUAUGAUUGAAAGUG